rnacentral:misc_RNA from 1 species
AGUUUAUAGAUGCGUUACAUCGAUUACAUUCAAAUUAAUACAUAUGAGUUUGUGUAUUGGCAGACGGAGAAAACACCCUAACAAAAGGGCGAUGCUCUCCGUCUCACAGGUGCACAGGUGUGUGUGGAUGAAAGAGAAGGCGUGCACAUGCCGAAUAAACGACCAGCGACAACCAACUCUACAUUCAUUCAAUAAUGAUCCUUCCGCAGGUUCACCUACGGAAA